rnacentral:lncRNA from 1 species
CAGCCCCGGCCGCUGGGCGCACCCGUCCCGUUCGUCCCCGGACGUUGCUCUCUACCCCGGGAACGUCGAGACUGGAGCGCCCGAACUGAGCCACCUUCGCGGACCCCGAGAGCGGCGGCGCGACUCACCGCGGAGGCGCCCGGACGCGUCAAGCCCAGCCCAAUAGGAAGCACCUGAUCCACACUCUUUCUAGCCCCAGGGAUGCUCAGGAAAGCAGCCUUUCUUUAGGGCUGUCAUCUGUUCUGGGGAUCUGUUGCUGUUUCUUGGGCCCACAGAAUACACUCCACACCUCGGGACUCUAUAAUAUUGGACAAGGCUGGAAGGCCCAUUUGGCUCCUGCAGCCUCUUAUGCAGGAGGACCUCCUGAGGCUUCGAGCAGGAGCUGGUGCACACCUGGAGGAGAGUGCUGGUGAAUGGCAGGUGUGUGCCUCAGUGUCCUUGCUGCCUGGGUGUCAGCCCUGCUUCACCACUGGCCCUUUGUCUCUGUCCCCUCCACUGGCCUGUUGAAGCACAGAGACCCUCCGGUCAUCCUCUUCAGCGGUCCUCCCAGAGCUGUCCUCGGCAUGGCAGCCUCCACAGCCCCUGGGUGUCACCCCCGGUUUCGUGUCUGCCUUGGACUCCAGACCUGCCCCUCCCAGGCUGGCCCAGAUGGAUCCUCUGCAGUGACUAACCCAAACCAGCACCAGGCAGGGACCCAAUAAACCUUCGUGAA